CACAAGUUUGACCGUUCGUUUUGUUCAAAAAAUUUAUGUAAUUAUUAAUUUUAUUCCUAUCAUUUGAUUCAUUCUUAAAUAUAAUUUUAUGCAUACAUAUAGUUUUACAUAUUUUACAAAAGUUUUUGAAUAAGACGAACGGUCAAACUUGUG
rnacentral:pre_miRNA from 1 species